GGGGAACUCUUCUUGGAUUUUAUGAACAACAAGGGGAAUAUGGAUGGAAUAACUGACAUUAAGUAACAUCUCUUUCACCGUCUGUCUUUCAACCAUUUUCAGGAUUUAGGGCCAGGGGACAUGGUGAAGGCAGAGGAGGCCCUAGGACAGGAGGACUGGAAGGAGAAGUGUUUCGUCCUGGAAGCCCUGCUCAUGAAGUUACGGGUGCAGAUAAUCAAAAUCAGAGAGCUAAUAGCAGACAAGAAACAGAUCCAAGCCUAGGAUUCUAAGGCUGUGGAGGAGAAAGCAGCCAAGAUCAAAGAGCGGGUGAUGCUGAAACUGUGUGAGUUUAGGGUGUAGAAUGCAGUUCUGAGAGAGACCAACGUUCAGCAGGAGACUCAGAUCCAGGAGCUACAGAAAA